CAAAGUACUUGACCGAAAGCUGUUCAACUCUAAACACCAGUGGUGGACCUAAAAAGUUAACAUCUGAAACAGAACCUUUUUUAAAAUUUCUACUUUUAUACAACAAAAUUAUUUCCAACACUAUAGAUUCUCUCAUAUCACCUGCACCUGAGGCUGACCCUUCCCACUACCACUCCCCUUGGUUGCCCACCAGCCCAAGGCUAUGAAAGAAAAUGGAGACAGUUCUGAAGAACUUCCUGUCUGCAAACAGCUCCACUAUGAUAUAAGCCCAUUAUUAUCAGGCAUGAUGGGAUCCAGAAUCUUCAUGUUCCCCACAAGGGACACAGAGAUGCCUCAGAGAAGCCAGCUGUUUCUGCUCCUGUGCCAGGGUGGAUAUACUAGCUCACUUUCUGCCACUGGUUCUCCAGAGUCAAUUUAUGCUGCCUCCUGCUGGCCAACAUUUUAAGUAAAACUUCCUUGCGCUCAUGGCUAGAAAAUGUCACACUGGGUAUCAGGACCCAGGCAAGGCUGUGAGCAAGCUUCCAACAAAAAUUCAACGGUCCUUUGCUGCUGAAAACACUGUUCUGACUUAACUCUACAUUGCUGAAGCAUGAAGGAAUAUGAGUUUACAAGGAAACGAAACCCCAAAUGCUAAACAACUGUGCCCUCUGUAUGUACAGCAGCACCCUUCCAAUUUGUCAUUACCUUCCUGUUCUUCUGGUUCUCUCUUAUACAUAAGACCCCCUGAAUCCAACUUGCCCAAAGGUCAUUCCAUGGAGCUACAUAAGGCAGGACAGAGGCCCUCAUGCUGACAAUGAAAGAAGUCAGUUCCAGGCACUUGCCCAAGGUCACAUGGUGGGUCAGUGGUAAAGCCAUGGUCUCAAAGCUUCCCUUCUGAAGUGCCCAGCAUGUGGGGUGUUUUUGCUGCACUAGCUAACAGGUCAUCUGUCAUGUUCUCCUUGACUCCAUUUGACUACAUUACUCCAAAUGACUACAUUUUCAAGGGCCAGAACCAUGCUAGUGUCCAUGUCAAGACCUCAGUGAUAGUGGCAAGUACCCCACAAGGCCUUCCAUACAAACGGUGAGAAAUGUCAGCUCCCCUGAAAGGAGAAGCUUCAUGCACAAAACCCAGCCAUCCCCAGAGUCGACCGUGCCAUGAGGUCAGAGGCCAGGAGGCUUUUUGGGAAGGCACAUUCUGUGUGCAAUGUCUGAACUUGCCAGGUCUCAGGGAAGUUGGACUUCUCCCAAGGAAAGUUUUGCCCCGACUCUUGACAACUGUCAGCACAUCGCACAAAGACAGGAACUCACGAGAUAGAGAUGCCAAGCAGCAGGGAACCAUUAAGACUAAAACCUGAGUUGCUGAAGGAAACUGAAGGCUGAGUGAUUUUUCUUCUCUGAGCUGCAACCUGUGAACUUUGAGAACGAAGUGCCAUUUAUUGUGGGCCUGCUCUGGGCCUGGCUCUUAGCACACUUGAUCUCACUGAGGCAGUACAGUGUAAUGCAAGGUUCCUCAACUGAGGCACUAUUGACAUUUGGGACAGGACAGUUCUUUAUUGUGGGGACUGUCCUAUGCAUCGUAGGAUGUUUAGCAGCAUCCCUGGCCUCUGCUCACUAGAGGCCAGCAGCACUUCCUCUUGCCACCUGUGACAACCCAAAUUGUCUCCAGCAUUGCCAACCCCUGGGAGACAGAUUCACCCCAAGUUGAGAAUGAUUACUAUAGUGGCUAUUUUGCAGGCUCCGGAAUCAGACAGCCAGACUCCAAAUCCUGACCCACCCUUUAUCCCAUUUAUCAGAUAACCUUAGAAAAAUUCCGUAAGUUCGCUGUUCCUCAGUGUCCUUAACUGAAAAUAGUCAAUGGUAAUACCCACACAUAGGGUAGUUAUGAGGGUUAAGUGAGACAUCACACAUGAAGCAUGUAGAAUCAGGCCUGGCACAGAGAAAGCCAACCUUCCCAAAUGUAUUCUCAUCCCCAUUUUUCAGAAAAAGAAAGUGAGGCUCCAAGAAGUGACUAAGAGAUCACACAAUCAGCAAGCAGCCCAGCUAGUAUGUGAACAUGAUUCCUCAUGGGCUCAAAUAACCAUCAGUGAGCGGCCACCACGCAGCAAGCCCUGGUCUGGGCUCCUCGGCUAAGGAGGAAACAAGAGAAUCCUUGUGCUCAAGGAACUCCAAAUCCAAUGAAGGAGGCAGGCACGUGGCCUGGCGGUUUCAUAACGUGUGCUAUGGCAGAAGAGCAGAGAAGUGCUGGGGCUGCAUGUGCUCAGCGGUGAGGCACUUAACCCAGCCCAGGUCAUGGGGGAGGAAACACCCAAAGGGAUUCUGAAAGACUCCAAAACGCUUUCCCCGUCACCACAGUGCUUAUUUCAUCUAACAGAUGACAGAUAGCUUUCGACAGUGACUGCAGAUGUACGUCUGAGGGGUGAAGUCUGCAGUAAGUCUGGUCAGGGACACCAGCCUCCAAAGAUUUGUGGAAAGGGACGAGAUCACAGAGUCUCACUGAGAUUGAGUCAGAUCUCUCAUUCAGAACUUCAGGGAGGGUGGGUUGAGAGCUGCCCCUCGCCUAGUCAGUGCAUCCUUCAACGGUUUGGAGAGAGAGGUUAGCAAACCCCAUUUGACAGCCCUGGGGUGGGUGGGGGGUGUCAAAGACAAUUAGAACUUACUCAGCACGAAUACACAGUGAUGAGGAAUAAGUAAAAACCCAAACCGCCGCAAGAGCAGGUUCUUCUCCUUGAAGAAGCUGCUCACAUAAGAAGGGACCAUGAUCCUCAUGAGAGACAAAAGGGUUUCACAAGCAGAGAUGUUUUCAUAGCCCUGUAUUUCACUUAAUGAGCUGACGACUGAAGGCUCACAUUGAUAAUUCCCCUGGCUGGCUCAAACACCUGCAUCAUGGCUAUGUUAUCAUACACCUGUACAGAAUCCCAAGUGCUUGGAAUGAUCCUGUAUGACAGCCUGGGGCCCCUGCUAAGAAGGUGGGGAGGGCCAAACCCAGGAUCCAGUGUCACGUCUUGUCAUUGAUCUGUGAGAGGGAAGAAGACUCCAUAUGCCCUCACUGUACAAAGUGUGGCCCUUACACCAGCAGUAUCAGCAUCACCGGGGAGCUUAGAAAGUAAAGACUCAGGCUCCAUCCCAGGCCUACUGGAUCAGAGUCUUUGGGGUGGGAAUCUAUAUUUUAACAAGCUCUUCACAUGAUUCUUAUUUUAAAGUUUGAGAAACACUGCUGUAGACCAUCUUCCGUUCACCUUCCCUUUCAUUCAUUUAUUCAACAAAUAGUUACUGAGUAUCUAUCCUUUAAUAACCUUGCUACUAGAUACUGGGUGUAUAGUUGUAAAUAAAACUGACACGGUUUUUGCUCUUGCAGAAUUUAAAUUCUUCUCUGGGGAGCAAUGGGAAUUUGUGGUGACAUUUGAUGAGAAACCCAUGAGGGAAUGAGAAACAAAUGCUUAUUCCUGACAGAUAUGCAAGUCGAGUCAUAUCAUGUCAUUAACAUGAGCAGGCUAACCCAGAACAAAUAUUUAGCAGGCACUGGAGUUAUGCUGGAUGAAAAAAAUGACAGAAACACAUUUUUAUUUCUCUUACCUGAAUCUGUGCCCCUUGAGAACGAGCCAACGUCCCAUUCACUCUGGUUUCCCCAGGGCUCAGCACGGUACCUGGAACUCACUUAAUAUCUGCUGAAUGAAUAAGGAAAGGAAUAAAUCCCAAUUAGCCUGAGAGGCUGCCCAGAGCCCUCUGUGUCCUAGGAACCCCUGAACCAGCCUGCAACCUGCCCCUCAGGCUAGGAAAGGGUCCCCCCACUCAAUAAUCUGCAUGUCCGCAAAAAUUCUGCAAGCAGGACCCUAACUCUAAAAGCCAGUUCCCCACCUAGUGGGCUGUGGAGUAGAGCUUCCUUCAGGGAAGUCAAAUCUCUCUGGAAGCACCUCCCUCUGUGCUAGAGGACUCUGUACAGAAAAGGCUGAGAAAGAAAUGCAGGAGAAACAGGCCUCCUAGGAGCUGCCCCAAGGGCAAAAUUAGAAAUGAGACUAGUGGGGUGGGAAUGGGGAGGACACAGUGAAGUGCUGCCCCCUACCCAGCCUCCCUGGAAAACAGGAACGUCAACCAGCUGACACUAACAAUUAGCAGCUCAGAUCACAGAGAUUUUGCUCAACUGGAAAAACUUAGUGGUAGAUUUUUGUUUCAUUUGGACACUUGAUGGACUUAAGCCAGACUGUAUAUUUACUUAGGAAGAAGAAUAAAACAUUAAAAACAUAUUCUUCAUGCUGAAAUUACAUUAUCCAAAAGCAAGGUAAAAACAGAGAUUUCAUAUCAUUUUUCAGCUCUCAAGGAAUAAA